AAGCUUUACACCUGUAUGUAUCUGUAUGUAUCGUCAAGCAACGAGACACAACAGAGCACCCCAUAAAUUCACUUCUCCACUACUCAAAACACGCUAGAGUCUACGUCUAGCGUUUUUCUGCAACUGGAAUCAGUAAUAUGGAAACGCGCUGUGUGUGAGGUGUGGCCGCCGCAGCUUCCAUCUGCAGAAGAGUCGUUGCGGUUCGUGCGGGUACCCAGCCACUCUGUCUCAGAGAAGUGUAAUCUUUAUCAUUAUUGUUAGAUAACUGGGGCAUCGGAGGAAGACGACAGGAACCGGAAGAAUAAGGUAUCUCAAAUACGUUACCGUUAGAUACAAAACAAACUUCAGAUAAGGUACCCAGGCAGCUCCAAGGAUGAAAGGCUCUUCGCCAUCAUCGUAAAAUCAGCUCCUGAAUUAUCGUUAUUAUAUACUAGUCAUUCUGUUUCCUAGGUUAUGUAGUAGUCAAUAACAACAGAAUUAGGGAACCAUCGAUGGGUGUAAGCUGUAAAAUGUUUCUACCCAUAUGGAAGCCAUAGAAAUGCGAGACUAGAGACUGUAAUCUCCGUAAUUUCUGUUCUACUCCUAUAAAAAAGCAACAAGAGACGUGCACAGAAAAAAAUUACUCAUUU